rnacentral:rRNA from 1 species
AUUGAACGCUGGCGGCAGGCCUAACACAUGCAAGUCGAGCGGAGCGGCGGACGGGUGAGUAAUGCCUAGGAGUCUGCCUGGUAGUGGUGGAUAACGUCCGGAAACGGGCGCUAAUACCGCAUACUAUCAGAUGAGCCUAGGUCGGAUGAGGUAGUGGGGGGGGUAAAGGCCUACAAAGGCGACGAUCCGUACCUGGUCUGAGAGGAUGAUCAGUCACACUGGAACUGAGACACGGCCCGGAUUCCUACGGGAGGCAGCAUUGGGAAAGAUUGCACAUUGGGCGAAAGCCUGCUGAAGCCAUGCCGCGUGGAUGAAGAAGGCCUUCGGGUUGUAAAGUACUUUCAGCGGGGAGGCGUUACCCGCAGAAGAAGCACCGGCUAACUCCGUGCCAGCAGCCGCGGUAAUUC